rnacentral:rRNA from 1 species
CAGUAGCCGCGGUAAUACGAAGGGUGCAAGCGUUACUCGGAAUUACUGGGCGUAAAGCGUGCGUAGGUGGUGGUUUAAGUCCGUUGUGAAAGCCCUGGGCUUAACCUGGGAAUUGCAGUGGAUACUGGGUCACUAGAGUGUGGUAGAGGAUAGUGGAAUUUCCGGUGUAGCAGUGAAAUGCGUAGAGAUCGGAAGGAACAUCUGUGGCGAAGGCGACUAUCUGGGCCAACACUGACACUGAGGCACGAAAGCGUGGGGAGCAAACAGGAUUAGAUACCCCAGUAGUCCCUGUCUCUUAUAC